rnacentral:tRNA from 1 species
AGGAGGAUGGUGUAAUGGUUAGCAUAGUGGUCUCCAAAACCAUUGAUGCAGGUUCAAGUCCUGCUCUUCCUG